GACGAACUGUCCAAACGUUGUUCGGAAUCAUUGGGCGUAAAGCGCACGUAGGCGGUCCGGCAAGUCGGGUGUGAAAGCCCUCGGCUUAACCGAGGAAGUGCAUUCGAAACUACCGGACUUGAAUACUGGCGGUCUCGAGGGAGGUAGGGGCGUGCGGAACUAACGGUGGAGCGGUGAAAUGCGUUGAUAUCGUUAGGAACUCCGGUGGCGAAGGCGGCACGCUGGACCUUUACUGACGCUGAGGCACGAAAGCCAGGGGAGCGAACGGG
rnacentral:rRNA from 1 species